GGGCAUUUUAGGCGGUUCCGUUAUGAGGAAGUGGCCGGACCCGAAGAGGCGCUGAGCCGGCUCAGGGAACUUUGUCGUCGGUGGCUGAGGCC
ensembl:miRNA